UCAAGAGAUUGUAAUGUUUAUUCUCUGAUACAGUUUCCAUUUACAUUACUUAUGUCAGGAGGCAAAAUGUUUGUACUUUUUCUUGAUGAGAUUCUGUUGCAAUCAUCUAAAUCUAUAUUGGUGUUUAGAAGGAAAUAUGUAUAUAUUCCAUAGAAUUCUUACAGACGACCAUGAAACGAAAAGAAAAUUUCCAUUGGCUUUGAACUGGAAUCAUGGCGUCUGCUCAAAUUACAUGUAGCUUCAAAAAGUGUCUUCCAAAAAAAAAAAAUAAUUAAAAA